CUCCUUCAGAGCUGGAAAAAUAAGGAAAGGGGAGUUGAAGUCUCACCCCUAUGUGAUAACAAGGGUCCAUGCAGUGCCCUACCCGUUUUUCACUAUUUCCCUGAAUCCCAACUUGAAAGGCAACUAGAGCUAAACAGCCGAUAAUGACUGCCCCUCCCUGCCCCAGCCCCCCUUUUAAGAAAGACUUUACAAAGAGCACGUGCAAAAUGAUCGCAGGCCCAAAACUCAGUACGUCAGCCCCCCACUCAUAGCCUUUAGGCCAUGUUGUGGUUAGCUUAUUCGUGAACCCAGUGCUUCUCAGUCAGGGUGCCACACGAUUCACAAGAUGAACCCAGGAGUGUCCAAUAAGAAUCCAUAGUGCCAAAAGCACAUUUUCACCUGUUGCAGCCCUACCAAGUGUUUUGCAACAGAAAAAUUGUUCAACUACUGCUCUGUAGUCCAAGAAUGAGUGAAGACAAAGAGUUGGCAUUUUUUGUUGAGGGCUACCCCAUCUCUAAAGAGAUGGAGGACCACUGCUGUAACCAUUUUAAAGCAUAGUUUUACCUCAGAGCCCAGGACAGAAUCACUGGAAUAGUGAGAAGCCUUAAUCUGACCGAUGAAAAAUAUGGAAUGAGUAGAAUAACCCAUGGAUCAUCAAUAUAAGGCUAGAAAGGACCUCAGGAGAUAUACUUCAACUCCCUGCUCAAGGCAGGAUCAACCCAAUUCAAGCCAUCUCAUCUAACUGUUGGUCUAGCCUGCUCUUACAGAACUUCCAAGGAUGGAGAUCCCACAACCUCACCAGGCCACGGACACAAGAAGGAAGGCUUUGUGAAAGAAGUAAACAGAUGCCUCUGGAAGUGGUGCUGCCAUGGGGACUUCGGUUUCUUUGACCACAGCACGUCAUUCAGGGAGAGAGAACUUCUGGGAUGAGAUGGCAUCCACCUCACAUGGAGAGAUUGGGAUUAGAUGGAAGUACUAUCAAGCGGAUAUCAACUGGCUGGAUUAUUGUACUCAAUGGAUGCUCAUCUGUGGCUCAGUAUCUAAUUGGGAGGAGCCCAGAAGACUGAAGCCAUUUGAAGCUGAACACUAAUCUCUGGCAGAACCAGGAACAGAAGUAAGAAAAAGCCAAGAAGAAGAUAUUGUGUCAAACAAUUCUUUUGGGGGUCUAGCAUAAAGUUCUUAAGAUCUCAAAACCAUGAGUUAUUUCCCAGAGUAUAUGGCAUAUGCAAUAUGUUGGUACCAGGAAGUUCUAAAAUAGGGCUUUGUUACACAGAAAUUUUGGGCAUCUCCUGGAGCUCUUAAGACCUAGAUUGUCCACACAUUAACAACUGAAACUGGUUUUAAGCACUUGUUGCUUAUACAGCUCAAAAUCUCAGGCAGACAAGGUUCUUUGGGUGAAUCUGGUAUCUUUUAUUAGACCAACUUAAAAAGUUGGAAAAAAAAUUCUUAGCAUUUUGAGGUUUAAAAACCCUUUGUCAGGCUGAAGAAGCCUCUGCAGUUGGGGUGUAUUCUUCCUGGAUAGUAAAGAAGCCAGGGGCUGGGCUGGUAUGCAUGCAAGACUGGCAGUCAGUGAAGAUGUAAAUAGAAAAAUCAUGGCAGUCCAGAUCAAGAUUAUCUGAUCAGUGCUACCCAGCUUGUAUUGCACUAGAGUGGCUGCACCAUAGUGUAAACACCUCACCCAUCCCCUCUCCCCAGCUGACCCAGAUUGAGCCCAGUUCCUGCACCCCAGAUCUCUGCCCCACUGACUUCCAGCUGGUGCCACUGCUGUCUGCCCAGGGGAGCAAGCAGGGAAGACUUACACUGUCUGCCUGGCCACUGCCCCUGCUGCUCUCUGGGCCAGAAAAGCAGCAGCUGGGAAACAGUAGCAGCCCAGCCGGCAGGUUAACCCUUCCAUGCUUGCUCCCUUAGGACAGACAGCACCAGCAGCCACAAGUAAGUAAGGCCCCAGGGGAAAGCAGGGGAGAAGCCUGGAUUGGGCCUGGGGGAGGAUUCUUGCCUUUCAGCCCUCCAGGCCCCUGCUGGCCCAAAGUGUGACUGCUCCAAACUUGAGCUAGCACUAACACUGAUCAAUAUUUGGGUGGCUCACAAUAUAAAGUGUAACAAGGCCCACAGAAAUGCAACAAAUACCACUAUUGUAAUAUUAUUACAAUAUUUCAAUGACAGGUUUUUACAGUUUUCCCAAAGGCAGAAACUAUAUCUGCUCUCAGCUUUAUAUGUAUGUCUCUGCCCAGGAGGUAUAACAGAAGGCCUUAGGAAGCUUGUAGAAUAGGCCUCAAUAGAUUCCAAUACAGGAUUUUCUUUGAGGACAGAAAAAAUACAACUUUUCUUUUACUCUUGGUUAAUGUUCCGCCUUUGAUUUCCUUCUUGUUUGGCUUUGAUUUCAUUUCCUUCUUGUGCAUAUUAGGGAAUAAAGCUUAGCGAUAGAGCAUUUCCAGCACUCCAGGCAGAUGGAUAUGGACAGUCACUGGCUGCUCUUUCAAUCUGUAAACUGAAAAGAAAGCCAAGGGAAGAGGGGAAGUUGUUACAGAGGUAGACUUCACUCCUUCCAACCCUUUGCACUGCACAUGCAUAGACCCUGAAUAGUUGAGCUAAACCUAAAUAGGGUAGUUUUGAUCCUUGUUUGAGGGGUUAAGUAGAUAGCUAGAAACAAGCAGCUGCUCUUUCACUCUGUUGCAAAACAUUUUCAGAUAGCUCAUACUUUGGCUGUAAAUGAUGUAAUAGUGUCUGGGAAACAAGAAACAAGAAAUUGCUGAGUUGAGGUUAUUGCAUCAACUUAAUGGUUAGUUCUUGGGCUGGUAGCACAAAGUUUAGCUCUCAGAAUUGUGAGCCAUGUCCCAGAGUGUGUUGCACGUGCUGCAGUACUUGGGCACCAAACAGUUCUGAUGUGCGGAGUUAAAUUGCUUUCUUUAGAGCAUGAUCAACAACCCAUGGCCUGCAGGCCGGAUCUUGCCCAUAGAGCCCUUGGAACUACUAGCGUGUGGAGCUGUGGCUUCAGUGGCAUUCAGCAGAGAGAGGGAGAAGCGGGGAGGAGGCUUUAGUGGUGGAGGUGCUCUGCUCUGCCCAUACCAUGCUGCAGCUGGGCAAUGGAGAAAAGUGGCAGAGGCAGCUUGGUCCUAGUUCUGGCAUGUCUCAGACCUGAGUGGGAUCUUUCCAGUCCACAGCCAGAAAACAUUGCUGACCCCUGCUUUAGAGAGUGACAUAGAUGUUGCAAUUAAAGACAUGUUUUUGCAAAAUCUAGUUGGUUUAAUAAAAAAUCACUUCUACCAUCAGUUCUGAUUUAAUAGAUGUUACAAUGAUACUCAGGCUGAGUUCAUUUUGUGAGGGAACAUCUACAGAUACAGAUAUGGGAAAUGAAAGAAAACCUUGGCAUUUUGUAUGCUGAUUGCUCACUGGAUAGCCUGCUUCUGUUGACUGCAUAUUUGGACUCCACAAAUUUAAAAUUUGAGUUUAAUGCUUAGCACCCAUUUGGUUUAAAAGUUUAAUAGUAGAUAUCUUAUGUAUUAAUUACAUGUAUUUAGCAUAUUAGCUUGCAUACCAUGCACACAUUUGCCCCACAAAAUUAGUCAUCCAAAACUGGGGAGGGCAGGCUAAACAAGGCGCUGGUAUAUUUGUGCAGAAUGGAGGCAUGGGGACACUGGAAUGGCUACAAGGAGCUGGCUUCCUCCCUGCAUAAUGGAGGAUAGACAGAGUUUGCUGCUCUACCAAAGGCUAGAGGUUUAACCCCAUUGCAACCAUUGCUGAACUGACAGUGGUUUUUGGCAGUGGCAAUGACAAUCUGUUAGCCCUUUAGUUCAAUUAAGAACUCCAAAUUAUUGGAUAAAUAUUAGAUCCUGUACCCUUGUCAGAUGCCUUAAGAAGUACAUUUCAGAAGCCUGUACUCAUCCAAAUAAAACCUUAUUUGGAAGGUUAAAUAAUAAUUAUAUAUUCCUCCAGACAAAUGGCCUAGAAAACAUGCUGACAGUUACUGACCCAAUAUUACCCCUAUAUUUAAAAUGAUACAGAUUUACAAAUUAAAGAUGCCAGCAUGCAGACAGAUAUGCUGGCAGUGAAAUAUUCUCAAACUUCUCCUUUUCUGAGACUAAUUUUCUUGAAUAACACCCCCCCCCCCUCAAAUUUAAGACACACACCUUGUUUUGUGAAGAUAGAAUGAAAAUAAAAAUACCUUAAAUACCUGGGGUACAAAGCUACAAAGAACAAGACUGCAUUACUAUACUGCAGUUCACUCAAAUGAGAUGUGCAGUUGUUCUGAGAGGUGGUGUUAGACCCCCAUAUACAGACAAGGAUACGUUCUUGUGGAAAGAAUGAGACGGACUAGUGAGGGCCAGGUGUAUCACAAAUUAGCCCUUCACCCUCUACAAGGGCCUUCCCUGCCGGAUGUGCUGGCCUGCUUUCUGCUCCCUGUUUGAUUUGUCGCUGUGCUGCCUGUCCCUUCUCUGUUCUGUUGCAUGCCACAUAUAGAGGCUGCCUGUGCCAGGCACAGGCUGGCCAACCCUUGAGAUAGAUAAUUUAUAUCCCUAUUUGUGAUCUUACUCAUUCUUUGAAGAAAUAAGAGGAAAAUAAAUACCUCAAUUGGUGGAAAACUGAAGAAAAAAAAUUUGCUCCUCUCUAAUAACUUACAGCUUGUUUUAUACUCCCUAGCUGUAUUUGCAUUAUUUACACAAAUAAUAAGUGUCAAAAUCAAGUAAAAUUCCCAUUUUUAUUUUUAUAUUUUGCUAUUAUAUAUUGCCUCAUUUUAUGAAUUUUUUGGUGUCAGACACUGUUUUGUUUUAAUUUUGUUUAUACUGGCAGUAUGUGUAAUCUUACUGUAUGUUUUUACCAACAAUCAUUGUGGCAGGGCACUGUUGGUGCCUGCCACUUCAAGGGCUGAGCCAAACAGCUGGCAGGUGCUUGAUUACGGGCAGCCAUUUUAGAACUCUGGCCGCCUAUAUAAACAGAGCAGCUCGCUGCCUGCAGGCCAGGCAGGAGUGUUGCCUGGCUGUAAGUCUGUAUGAAACAUCUUGGAACUAAGGGCAGGAGCUUAAGGUGAUGAUUUGGAGGCUCCUGGUUCUGGGCAUGACCUAAAACUACACCCUGCCAGGAGUGGGUGGCCUGGUGGGGCUCCCAGUGGUGCGGGGGCUCCCAGUGGUGCGGGAGCCCCCAGGAAAUGCCAGGCCAGUUACCACCCUGGUGAAAGGUGGGUUGGGGCAUCUUAACCCCAGCCCCCACAACACUGUGGGUACAACGGGGCCAGGCACAGCUAUGGCCACCUGAGCCCAAGGACAGUGUAAGACCCAGAUGGGGCCAGGCACAGCUAUGGCCACCUGAGCCCCCCCUGGGGAGGGAAGCCCUGCAUUCCCUGAGGGGAGGGGGUAGAGAUGAGAAGCCCCAGUGAAGGGAAACCAGAGGGCUGGGAGCCCAGUGUGUGUGUGUGUGUGUGUGUGUGUGUGUGUGUGUGUGUAUAGAAUUGCCUUGGGAGGCACCAGGGCAAGCUUGGACCUGCUUGGGUAAUUGGCUGGCCACUACCCCAGUGAGGGUUGCGGGAGAGGCCCAAAAGAUGGUACGUCUGCCACCCAACAUGUGUGCUAAGUAAAGCCUAUGGCGAAAGGGGCCUGCUCCAAGAGGGAGCAAGGUGGUACAAAUUGUUGGUGUGUGAAAGAGACCCUGUGAGAGGAGGGCGGUAUGAAUGCGCACGUGUCUGAGGCCUGACAAUGAGGGCUAAGCUUGGUCUGGCUGUAAGCCAGGAGCAUUGUCACCUGGAUGCCAUCUGCGAGGCUUGGGCUGUGGUGUAGGGGAGGAACAGAGCCCCAGAUAGCACCCCCUGACAUUGGGGCAAGAAUGGGCAGUCUCCUGCCUAAUUAACACCAUAAUUAUCAUCAAAGCAUGGCAAAUGAGGAGGCGGGAGGUUGGCCCAGAAACAGGUGGGUGGACCAAUGGCAGACUGGCCCUGAUUGCCCCCUGUUACGAUCAUAAAUCAUAUAAUGUUAAUAUAUUACAUAUAAUUUUAAUGUCAUUCUUACCGCAUUUACUUACAGCCUUUACUAGAACAACUACUACUACUACUGUGAAAAUCUUUUUAUCUUCAUUCUGUCUUCACAAAACAAAGUGCGUCUCAAAUUUGGGGGUGUGUUAGGCCAGAAAAUAUGGCACUCCUUAAUUUCAUUCUUUGCUAUUUUACUUUCUAACUUUCCAACUUCAAUAUCAGAUUAUAUCAUAUACUCACAAAAUGAAUGAAAGACCAAGACACUUUAGCUGCCUGCCGCAACCCCUUCUUAAUUUUUUGUCUUCACUUUUCACAUAGUUCAACUUUCACCACCUAAUCAUUUAAUUUCCAAAUGACUCUAUACCUUUCUCACUACAUUCUUUCCCUAUUCUGUCCAAAAUAUUUGUUAAAUUUAUUGACUUGGAUGAAGAGAUUGUACCUUAAUUCCUGUUUUUAUCUGUUUCAUUUAAAUAUUUCCUUAAACUUUAAUUUUUUUUCAUCCUGCUGACAUAUAGAUAAAGGCUAAAGGUUUAUUUAUGUCAUCACUCAUAAAGUCUCUAUUUAUGUCUAAAUCCAAAUUGAGCAUCAACUUAGAUAAUUACAUUGAGCAUAUUUUAUUUUACUUUAAAAUAUUGUCAUGCUAUACAAAGCUCCUAUAAUCAUUUUCAAAAAUACAAUGCUUUGUUCCAUUGUUAAAUUUCAAUUUCUGUCUAAAUUUUCCGUGGUUUACCCCUGUGGCUUGCUGAAAGGAUAUUUACAAGUAUAUGUUCUCUCUGAGCAUGUGUGGCAAAAAUUCUGGCCAGCUCAUUAAAAUUUGUUUAACAGCAGAGAACUUUCCAUAAGAAGAUACAACCUCUCCUCAAUCAAUUUUUACUUGAAUGUUACCCCGGAAGAGAUGUUAUCAGAAAGUGGUUUUCCAUAGCUGUCACACUUAGCUCAACCUAUUUAAUUUCAGGAGCUGUUUCUGCUAAAUUUAGUUUACUUUAGUGCUUUAUUUUGAGUCUUUGCUAUUAAACGUAUAUUGCUUGAAGCAAGUUGUUUGUCAGCACAGUGUGUUAUAAAAUCUGUGUGAUGAUGGCACUCAGAUUUAUUUUAUAGCCCAAUAUGUUCAAUGCUCUCUGUACUCUAGUAGUGUAGAUAACAUUUAACCCUGUUUCUUACUAGUUUUAUCUUGCUAAAAUAAAAUGAGAUAGUAACUCG